GACAGAGGGUGCAAACGUUGUUCGGAAUUACUGGGCGUAAAGCGAGUGUAGGCGGUUCGAUAAGUCAGCUGUGAAAUCCCCGGGCUCAACCUGGGACUUGCAGUUGAAACUGGUGAGCUAGAGUAGGGUAGAGGGGUGUGGAAUUCCUGGUGUAGCGGUGGAAUGCGCAGAUAUCAGGAGGAACACCGGUGGCGAAGGCGGGUCUCUGGGCCUGUUCUGACGCUGAGGAGCGAAAGCGUGGGGGAGCGAACAGG
rnacentral:rRNA from 1 species